rnacentral:rRNA from 1 species
UACGUAGGGGGCUAGCGUUGUCCGGAAUCAUUGGGCGUAAAGAGCGUGUAGGCGGCCCGGUAAGUCCGCUGUGAAAGUCGGGGCUCAACCCUCGAAUGCCGGUGGAGUACUGUCGGGCUAGAGUGCGGAAGAGGCGAGUGGAAGUUCCUGGUGUAGCGGUGAAAUGCGUAGAGUAUCGGGAGGAACACCAGUGGCGAAGGCGGUUGCCUGGAGCUUUGCGUGACGC